rnacentral:rRNA from 1 species
GAGCGGCUUACGGCCUAUCAGCUUGUUGGUGGGGUAACGGCCUACCAAGGCGACGACGGGUCGGGGGUCUGAGAGGAUGACCCCCCCGAGUGGGACUGAGACACGGCCCACACACCUACGGGUGGCAGCAGUUGGGAAUCUUGCACAAUGGGGGCAACCCUGAUGCAGCGACGCCGCGUGGAGGACGAAGGAUUUAGGUCUGUAAACUCCUUUUGCCAGGAAAGACUUAGGACGGUACCUGGCGAAUAAGCUCCGGCUAACUACGUGCCAGCAGCCGCGGUAAUACGUAGGGAGCGAGCGUUGUCCGGAUUUACUGGGCGUAAAGGGCGCGUAGGCGGUCUGUUAAGCGUGAAGUGAAAUCUCCAGGGCUCAACCCGGAAACUGCUUUGCGAACUGGCAGACUGGAGGAAGGCAGAGGUAAGUGGAAUUCCAGGUGUAGCGGUGACAUGCAUUGAUAUCUGGAGGAACACCCGUGGCGAAGGCGGCUUACUGGGCCUUUCCUGACGCUGAGGCGCGAAAGCGUGGGUAGCAAACAGAAUUAGAU